rnacentral:rRNA from 1 species
UCUUGGUCAUUUAGAGGAAGUAAAAGUCGUAACAAGGUUUCCGUAGGUGAACCUGCGGAAGGAUCAUUACUGAACUGUCAACAUGAGUUGUUGCUGGCCCCCCCCCCAAAUGGGGGAGCAUGUGCACACUCUGUUUGCACAUCCACUCACACCUGUGCACCCUCUGUAGUUCUAUGGCAUGGGGGACUCUGUCCUCUUGCUGUGGUUCUAUGUCUUUACACACACUACACCGUAACAGAGUCUUAUGGAAUGUAUGUCGCGUUUAACGCAAUACAGUACAACUUUCAGCAACGGAUCUCUUGGCUCUCGCAUCGAUGAAGAACGCAGCGAAAUGCGAUAAGUAAUGUGAAUUGCAGAAUUCAGUGAAUCAUCGAAUCUUUGAACGCACCUUGCACCCUUUGGCUAUUCUGAAGGGCAUGCCUGUUUGAGCAUCAUAAACACCUUCAACUCUCAUGGUUUGCCAUGAUGAGCUUGGAACUUGGGGGUCUUGCUGGCACAUGGUUGGCUCCUCUAAAAUAAAUCAGCUUGUCAGUGUUCGACAGCAACCAUGGGUGUGAUAACUAUCUACACUUGUGGUUUCCUGUCAGGUAACCUUCGAUCAUGAUGGAGGGUUCACUGAGGCUCAGAAAUGUCUCUCUUUGGUGGAGACAACACUUUGAAUGUUUGAUCUCAAAUCAGGUAGGACUACCCGCUGAACUUAAGCAUAUCAAUAAGCGGAGGGAA